GUGUACAUCUUCACGCCGCCGUUUCAUAUCUUACACAGACAGCCGUGGGGAUUGCGUCGUAUUUCACGGGAGGACUGCUAUCGAGGGCAAGCGCCACUCACUAGAGCCGUACAUGAUUUUGUCAAAAGGGCUUGUCUUUUCAUCACAGCCAGGCAUGCUUUUAAGGCUGUACAUUUUCCACAGAGUGUGAUACACUGGCACUGUAUCCUUUGUGGCACCACUUCUGUCAAUUGAACCCCCAUGACACAUUUGACUGUGCCGUCGUCACAGAUAAGCUAUGAUGAUCUGUAAAAAGAAAAAUUGGUAACACUUUGGAUCCAAGUGCUUAGUAGUAGUUCAUAGGUACUAAGGUCUUAUCAAGUUGGACCUGGGCCGGGAGCCACAUCUUAUCACCUUACCAGAUUUACAGCACUCAUUAUUCAUGACAUAAUCCUGCUGCAGAUUUCAGCCCUGAUGACAGAUUGACUCCUUAGGCACACCAUGCUAUGACAUGCGAUAAGGAGCUUUGGUAUGCAAAAAACUAUUUAUACAGAUUUUGUGUGUGUGUGACAGAAUACAGUAAAACUGAAACUGCUUUCUUAGAAGUUGUUGGCCUUCCUGACAUUCUCUAAUAGAGAGUGACAAGCAGUGGUGUUGCUUUUUACAAAGUAAAGGCUAUUUUCCUGAUUUGGGUCACUAGGAGGAGAAAUGCAUUUGAGGAGCUUUGAAUGAAAUCCUAUUUGCCACGCAAGCUGCCUCUGAAAGCAAGCCAGCUCAAGGACACUGGAUGAGGGAUGUCAUUACACUAGCAUGGUGAAUCUGAUUGGUCACAGCUCAUGUGUGGCAAAACGACCCCAACGUUCUCCACAGGCUUUACCCGGUUGAAAUGAGAUCAAUCCAUUCGCCUGUAUGCCCUUUGAGUGCAUAUCUGGCAGUCUUCUAAUAAUGGUUGAAAUGACGCUGUCAAUUAAGUUUUAUCAAAGCAACAUUUGGCUUUUGUAACAGGCAUGAGCAUUUUGUUGCAUGUUAUGUUUUUGAAAUGCCAGCCUACAAUAACGCUCGAGUCUGUUUCUGUAGUUUGUUAUAUGACGUGCAAUGUCUGCCUACCUACCUUUUGACAACCACAUAGUUAACGCGUCAGAGCGAGGUGGCUUACUGCUCUGG